UACGUAGGGGGCGAGCGUUACCCGGAUUUACUGGGCGUAAAGCGCGUGUAGGCGGCUGGUCAAGCGUGGUGUGAAAUCUCCGGGCUCAACCCGGAAACUGCAUUGCGAACUGACCUAGCUGGAGUGCAGGAGAGGGCAGCGGAAUUCCCGGUGUAGCGGUGAAAUGCGUAGAUACUGGGAGGAACACCAGUGGCGAAGGCGGCUACCUGGACCGGUUCUGACGCUGAGGCGCGAAAGCGUGGGUAGCAAACAGG
rnacentral:rRNA from 1 species